rnacentral:rRNA from 1 species
GAUGAACGCUAGCUACAGGCUUAACACAUGCAAGUCGGAGGGGCAGCACGAGGUAGCAAUACUUUGGUGGCGACCGGCGCACGGGUGCGUAACGCGUAUGCAACCUACCUUUAACAGGGGCAUAACACUGAGAAAUUGGUACUAAUUCCCCAUAACAUUUCGAGAAGGCAUCUUCUUGGGUUAAAAACUCCGGUGUUAAAGAUAGGGCAUGACGUUGUAUUAGCUAGUUGGU